AAAGACAAUGUUGUUCUGUAUAACCAGAAUUUUUUGCCUUUGCUGUUACUUUUCUUUGUUCCUUUUUACCCCAGGAGGACUAGUUGAUGAAGUAACUGGAUCAAUUUACAAGACUGUAGCUGACGUCUUUGAUGAUGAUAACUGAGGCCAACCAUAUGUUGCCACCAUGUGGCCCAACUAAUACAUUUCACUUUCAUUUUCUUUUUUUGAGUACCCUUUACAUUUGAUUAAUAAUGACUGAACAAAAACUGAAAAUAAGCAAUAAUAUAUGUGUUUACUGUUGUUACUUGUCAAGCCAUACUUUUAAAAUGUUACUUUUAAUUUGUUCUGAAUUAUAUCUAAUAAAAAUCUAAAAGAUAUGCUUAGUGAUCAAUGUAUUGGAUAUAAAAUGCUGAAAAGUGACAGUGUGGUUCCUUGUAUAUCUAGCCCUAACCUAUGAAUUCACAUUUUGUCAAAUUACACCCACAAAUUUGAAUCUAUUUAAUUGGAAUUUUACAUGAUGGACCAACACUAAGAGCCACACAAUAUUGAAAUGGAAGGUUUUCAAAACUUUGUAUAAAUAAUAAUACAUUUUCACUACAAUUUGAGGCAGUAUAUUAUACACUGUUCUAUCAGAAUAAAUGAUAAUCUUAUGCUGCAUAUUGUACUUUUAGCUAACAAUUUUAAUCUUUACCAUGACAUUUCUGAUCUAAACCUUUCACAUCCUAAAAUUUGCAGUAUAACUGAAACAUUGUUUAGGUCCCCAAAAGGCUAAUGCAUCUAAGGAAAAAAUGACCUUCUUUCCUUACCAAUGUACACAUGUAUCCUUUUUGGGAAAUGGAGCUGCUUCAAUCAUUUCUGCAACUUAAGCUUGACCCUUAAAUUCACCAUUACCUGAUUGCAAUUUGCACUUCACCUUACUAGAUUAUUAGAUAAACCAGAAAUUCUGCAGGCAAAGCAACAAACAUGUUUAGACUGUACUGUAUGUUUAGAUCGUAUGUUUAAACAUACAGUUUAUAUUAAGUUAUUAUACAGGUUUUGUAUUUGCCAUGUAAAUCUGUGAAACAAUAUAAACUUUGGUUUGUGAACAUUGCCUGAAGGACCCAGAGUAACCCAAGGAUAGAGAAUUAUUCUAAAUAAAUUCACUUUUUAUUACUACA